rnacentral:rRNA from 1 species
AUACGGAGGGUGCAAGCGGUAUUCGGAAUCACUGGGCGUAAAGGACGCGUAGGCGGGUUGGCAAGUCAGAUGUGAAAUCGUACAGCUUAACUGUAGAACUGCAUUUGAAACUGCUAACCUAGAGUAUGGGAGGGGGAGAUGGAAUUAGUGGUGUAGGGGUAAAAUCCGUAGAUAUCACUAGGAAUACCGAAAGCGAAGGCGAUCUCCUGGAACAUAACUGACGCUAAGGCGUGAAAGCGUGGGGAGCAAACAGGAUUAGAAACCCCAGUAGUCC